GUUAGGACUUACUGUAUUUGAUUUGUAUACAAAGGCUAUGGGAUUAUAUUUACUCCCUCACAACAGUCCUAUGAGGUAAGUAUAGGACCCCUAUUUCUCAUAGGAGGCUCUGUAGCUUAGACAAGUGAAGCAACAAGCUAAGGUCACAUAUGCUGAGAGAUGAACCAAAGUCUGACCAACUCGGGAUCCUGCCAUGCUAAGUGCUCUUUGUCCUCUACUAACUGCUGACAGUUAAGCUACAUAUUAAAGAAUGAAGAGUUCACGAGAUGGGACCAUCUAGUUGCAGGAAAACAAGCUCAGGGCUUCACUGAUUCUACAUUAUGCACAUACAGGCGUGUGUGAGUAUGUGUAAACAACAAACACUGAACCUGAUCCCGUGCGACUCAAAGUCCAGUCCUCUGACCAGUAGCACCAGCAACAGCUGGGAGCUUGUCGGAAAUACAGACCCUCAGGUCCCGCCCCGAACUGACUGAAUCAGACUCUGCUGUUUAACAAAAUCCCCGAGUGAUUCAUAGAGAUACUAAAGUUUGAGAAGCCCUGCUCUAAAUAAUCUCGUUUGAAUUUUGGCAGAGGCUCCAAAGCUGAUAAGGAAGGGUGUUAAUUAUCUGCACAGUCUAAAAGGAGAUGCCAGAGCAGCUAGGAAAACCUUGCUGAGGGCUUUCAACACAACCCUGGAGCAUUCAGACACAACACAGAGAUAAGAGGAAUUGAGAAAUUUGUGAAAAUGGAAAAGAAACUGAUCAUCUGAUCAUGUGUCCAAUCUCUACUACAGGUUUUGAGCUUGAAUUAGGCUCAUAUUGUCAAAAAGAGAGAAGCUUCACUUGCAUGAGAAAUUGAAGUUUUUAUGUUAGAUUUAUCUUCAUCCUUUUUAUGUUGCUAUAACAGAAUACCUGAGACUUGGGAGUUUACAAGAAAAGAGAUUUCUUUAGCUCGUGAUUCUGACAACUGGAAAAUUCAAGAUCAGGCAGCUGCAUCUGGUGAGGGCCCCAUGCUGCUUAAACUCAUGGCAGAAAGUGGAAGGGGAGCUGGCAUGUGCAAAGAGAUGACAUGGUGGGAGGAAGGAAAAGAUUGGAACUGAGGAAGCCAGACUCUUUUUAACAACCUGCUGUCAGGAAAUAAUCCAUUCCUGCAAGAGGAAGAACUCACUUGCCCCCACAGGAGGCCAUUAAUCUACUCAUAAGAGAUCUGCCCAAUAACCCAAAUACCUCCCACUAGGCCCCACCUCCCAACACUUCCACAUUGGAGAUCAAAUUUCAGCAUGAUCUUUGGCAGAGACAAACCAAAUCAUAGCAAGACUGGACUCGGGUUUUUAAAAACUUAUAGAAAUUUUCGAACAUACGAAAAUAGAAUAGUAUAAUGAACUUCCAUGUCCUUAUCACCCAGCACACUACCCUGAUAUUCUACAUAUUAAAAAUUUGGAGCACAAGUAUACUUGACUAUUUUAAUACCUAAAUGUGAUGACUUCAUUUUGAUGUUUAAUCACUGGCAGCUUUCAGGCCCCACGCUUCUUCCUUCCCCUUUUACCUCACCCGGAAGCCAAUAAGAAAGCCUAGGAUUCUCCCUCAUGUGAUUGUACAAAUUCCAUAGGUUUUCUGGUCUCUUUUAGAUGACAUAAACAGUCUUAUUUUUAGUGUUCUGUGGGUGCCCUGUUAGGGAAGGAUCAAUUCCCCACUCAAUAUCAUUUUGGGUAUCAGGACUGAUGGUGUUAUACAUGCACCCAGAGGGUAUGAAUAUUACUCAUAUAAUGAAACUCUAGGGAGAAUAUGGCAGGUAUUCAAGCUCUUCUGGAAUGGCUUGAGUCAAGAGAAGAGCAAGUACUUUGGAUUUUUAUUAUAGUUAGGGGAUGGAGCCUGGGUGAGUUUCACAUAGCUCAGGGAUUACCUCCUCUACCCACAGGCAUCACCUCAGGGUAUCCAUGCUUCUUGUGCCUACACCUUCUCCUGGCUGGCUGAGUGUUCUGGAAGUCUAAGCGCAGAGAGAUAAAAGUUUCUGCAGAGAGCAGUUUCUUCCAGCAGAACAGUGCUGUGCCAGAACACUGAGGCCAGCAGUGGCAUGGCACUUUUCCCAGGAUCAGCUCUCACUGGGAACACUGAAUAUAUAUUAUAAAUUAUACCUUUUCAUAGAUGAAUUUCUAGGAAAAUUUUAUUCCCUAUUUUCAUGAGUUGUUCCUCCCUAACGAUAGAUGUUAAAGGCUCUAAUUGUCC
rnacentral:lncRNA from 10 species